rnacentral:ncRNA from 1 species
CUGAAUGCUUGUGAGCUAUACCUGGGCAGGGCAAAGCCCAAAGGAACCUCGGAUGAAGGUCUGUCCAUAGUGGUACUGAAGUGCAGGUUUGUCAUCAGACCUGGGUAUAGGGGUGAAAGACUAAAUCGAAUCAUCCAGUUGCUG